rnacentral:tRNA from 1 species
GAUAUAACACUAAUUCCAUUUAAGAUUUUUAAUUUGCAAUUAAAGGAAGCAUUGCUUAUAUUA